AACCUAAUAUUCUUCCCUUUUAAAAAAAAAUGUGAUUUAGUUAUGUGCAUAGAAUAAAAAAUAUUAGCAGACAAAAAUGUUCAAGAAGACAGUAUAGUUUGUUGAAACUGAGAAUAUGCCAAUACUAGUAUAUUAGAAAAAAAAGCAUUAAUAAAAAUAAAUGGUGCAGUUAAUUUUGCUGGCGCAAUUUGAAUAAACUUAAUUGCAUUUAUCUGGUUACUAUAUUUCAAAAAUAUGCUUCGGAAACAAUGCUUGAAAAAUCAAAGUGCUAUGACAGUCAUUUGCUUGUUAUUCUUGAAUUUUAUGAUUUUCAUUUCCUUUUCUUUGUUAUAUGUAACAGUGUGAGGAAUAUUUAACACCAUUAAUCUGCUUGAGAGUUCCAUUUUUGGAUUAUACACCGUCUCAGACUGCAGAUGAAGAGUUUAAAUGACUCAUCCAAGAUCAUCCAGCUAGUAAACUUUUAAGGUAGGAUUUGAACUUGGAUCUUCCCGUUUCCAGGUCCACUGGUCUCUUCAUUAUGCCAUAUAGCUGCCUCUAACAAUGAAAUCACAGUUCCAGAGUCCCUAUCCUACCCCAAAGAAAAGCUGGCUUUCUUCUGAAAGCACGUAUGAUUUCCCUUAGUCUUCAUUUUAUGGAGAAGCUCCCCCAAACUCUUGUUCUCUGAGAAGAUUUGAAGGAAGUGUCUGUCUGGGCUCUUUGUUUCUAAUCAAUUACAGGAAGAGCUCUCUGAUCUAUUCAGAGGGAGUCAAUUGAAAAGCAUCAUAUUAGAACAACUUGAGCUUUUUCCAUGGUUUCCUGUCCAGUGAAGCUUCAGCAAACAAAAUCACAAAAGGCCACUUGCACGAAACAGGUCCAGAGAUUUGAUACCUCUCUGAGCACUGACGAGAAAGGGGACAGAUACAGUGGGAGAUCUCAACAGGAAGAGCAAACAUAGAACAAGCACCAGAGACU
rnacentral:lncRNA from 1 species